CUCCGCCUUCCCGUCUGAGCGUGCGGUCGAAUGAAAAUGCGCCGGGGAAAGGAGGGGUUCAGCUGCUGUCAUUAUCACAUCUUAUCCAACCAGAAGAUAUAUGUAUUGGAUAUUUACCCUCUAACUCAGGGUGAUGCUUCUGAGGAAAUGGAUUUAAACUAUAGCACUUCAUGUCUGUCAGAUAUUCAGCAUAGUUCCUUCGAGAUGCCAGGAGGGAAUUUCAGGAUCUGGACCCUGUGCAACAUGGACAUACAUCAUUGUUUGCCUAUUGUCCCUUAGUCUUAGAAAACAAGGCUGAUUGUUACAAUGAUGGGGUGAACAAGAAGCAGAAACUUACAUAUGUGGGGACUGUGGGAGUAACUCCUUAAAGCAGCUAAGCCUUUCUACAGGUUCUAGUGGUUGAACUUUGCAUAUAUAUGUCAAGCAGAGUUUUUGCAUUUUGUUUUGUUUUUGACUGUUGGAUUCCACUAUUAACAUUUUUUCCUAUACUGUAAUGCAUUCUUAGGCAUAUUUAUUAAGAAGAAAAGAAUAGCAAAGCUGGAAGAGCAUAGUAAUUGAGCCUUUCUGUCUAACCUCUGGUGCAUACGGAAUCCAAAUGAAAGUAUCCCUGAUAGAUGUUUUUCCAUUCUCUGUUUGAACAUAACCAGUGAACUCACCUCUCUUUUCAAUAAUUGGACCCAAUGUUUAGCUGUUCUUGUUAAUUAGAAGUGUUCCUAAUAGUCAACCAACAUCCAUCUUCUAUAACUUAAAGACCAUUAUUCUGAGUCCUGCACAAUGGAAGGAAAGAGAACAGAUGUUGAUCAUCUGUAUCAUAUUCUUUCAGGUACUUGGAAAGAGCUACUGUGUACCUUGUGAGUUGUCUUUUCUCAAAGCUAAAGUUAACAACUUAGCUCACUGUCUUCUUGCAAAAUGUUUUCAGUCCCCUAAUCAUCUUCGUUGUCAUUAUUUGCACCUAUUCAUGUUUGUCUGAAUUUUUAUUACCAUAUGGAGCUCCUUGCUGGACACAACACUUGUGAUGCAGUCUGACCACUAUAGAAUAAAGUGAAAUAUUCGUUCCCAUGAUUUGAAAUCUUUUAGUGAUAGUGAUACUGCCUUUUCAAUGUUACCUGUUACCUUUUUGCAGUGGUGGAAUUCAAAUAUGUGAACAACCAGUUCUCUGUGUGGAUGCCGCUUCCAGAAAUCCGUUCUGGGCCUGGGCAACAAAAAAAUAGCUACCGGUUCUGCCGAACUGGUACUAACCAGCUGAAUCCCACCACUGCCUUUUUGCCAUUUUCAUGGAAUUUGUUUCUUGAUUACUAAUAUGCUUAUUUUUAUUUUUUUUUAGAUACAUACAGUACAUAUAGAAAAGCAGCUUGGAUACAUUUGAUGUUAUCCAGCAUAUUCUGUCAUUACAUUUUCCCAUUAAGUUUAUUUAUCUUAUAGACUAUAUUAAUAGAAAAAAUUCUAUUCAGUUUUCUUAGUGAAUUGGUUUUGUUUUUUUAUAGGUAGAAAAUAUCAUGAUGGCUUAUAGUAUUUCCAUGCUUUCUUGAGAAAGGGUCUAGCUCUGUUUAAUGCAAAGAAUCCAGAAUCUGGUUUGGGAAAAGGAUUCUUGUGCCUUAAAAUAAACAUUUCUCAUGGCUUGUGUUUAUUUUGAACUAUUAAGAAUGCAGACAUCUGUACCAGCAACAGUUAGGGAGAAAUAGUCUUUCCUAACCGAUCAACAGUGCAAUUCUCUACUGCCUUCCCUAAGUCAUGAAUCCAGUGAAACGUAUUAGAUUUUUAUCUCACCUUUAUUAUUUUUAUAACUAACGUAAGUAGUGAACACACCUAAUACUCCUUCCUCCUUCUGUUUUCUCCACAACAACCCUGUGAAGUGGAUGAAACUGAGAGAGAGAAUGACUAACCUAAAGGAACCCAGCUUUCGUGACUAAAGCAAAACUAGAACUUACAGUCUUCUGCUUUCUAGCCUGGUAUCCCUUUAUGAUUAUUCUUCUGAGCGUGAGUGAAGGGAUUUAAAUGGAAGCUUGAAAAUGAAUGUUAUUUUUAUAAAUAACUUAAGGUGGCAUUUCUUCUCAGAAGUGAGUUCAAGUAUGUUCUUAUUUUCAAAUUAUGUCCAGCUUCACUACUGUUGUUUAUGUACAUUUGUCAAAUCAGAAAUAAAAUCCGACUAGAAAAAUAAAUCAAUGUUGUGGCUAAAAAAACAAGGUAUGUGAGGAAAUGUGGUAUUGGUCAGCAAGACAAAUACUGAACUCCAUUUAAAGUGUAA